UGGGGAAUCUUGGACAAUGGGGGCAACCCUGAUCCAGCGACGCCGCGUGGGUGGUAAGGCCUUCGGGUUGUAAAGCCCUUUCACCGGGGAAGAUGAUGACAUUACCCGGAGAAGAAGCCCCGGCUAACUCCGUGCCAGCAGCCGCGGUAAUACGGAGGGGGCUAGCGUUGUUCGGAAUUACUGGGCGUAAAGCGCGCGUAGGCGGGUGACCAAGUUGGGGGUGAAAGCCCGGGGCUCAACCCCGGAACGGCCCUCAAAACUGGUCAUCUAGAAUCCGGGAGAGGUGAGCGGAAUUCCUAGUGUAGAGGUGAAAUUCGUAGAUAUUAGGAAGAACACCGGUGGCGAAGGCGGCUCACUGGACCGGUAUUGACGCUGAGGUGCGAAAGCGUGGGGAGCGAACAGGAUUAGAUACCCCGGUAGUCC
rnacentral:rRNA from 1 species